rnacentral:tRNA from 1 species
CGGGGCGUAGCGCAGUUGGUAGCGCGCCUGGUUUGGGACCAGGAGGUCGUGAGUUCGAACCCCACCGCCCCGA